UACAGAGGGUGCAAGCGUUGUUCGGAAUUACUGGGCGUAAAGGGCGCGUAGGCGGCCCACUAAGUCAGACGUGAAAUCCCCCGGCUUAACCUGGGAACUGCGUCUGAUACUGGAGGGCUUGAGUAUGGGAGAGGGAUGUAGAAUUCCAGGUGUAGCGGUGAAAUGCGUAGAUAUCUGGAGGAAUACCGGUGGCGAAGGCGGCAUCCUGGACCAUUACUGACGCUGAGGCGCGAAAGCUAGGGGAGCAAACGGG
rnacentral:rRNA from 1 species